AACAAUUCCUAACAUGAUACAUUUAUCAUUAUCAAUUAUCAAAACUAAAAGUCAAAUAAAAAAACGUAAAGUUAAACCAUUAACUGAUAGAUCAUGCACUUCUCUCAGAUUUGCUUAUUUUUCAUGCAAUUUAUGUAUUACAAAAAAAAAGUUGACAUCAUUUCCCUUUGGAACACUUUUGUAUUGAUGAGAGAAGCAUUCACUCUACAUAAACGCUUGAUUGGACAUUCUGAGUACUAUAACACUUUCACAAGCAAGUGACUAACAGACUAAUUCUGUACUUGAUCUUAAUAUAUACUUAUGGGGAUAAUUCCCAAUAAAAC